GCGUGAGGUAAAAACAGCUGCGCUGCUCUCGACCGGGCAGCGUGCCAUGUGAAAGCUGUCGGCCAAUGUGUGCGUGCCGGAAGCGGCGGGUCAUGACCUCGACGGCGACCUGAGGUCGACGGCGGCGCGCGGCACACCGGCGCGGCGGCUAAUGUUUCUCACGCGCAAGUGCCAGGCCAUAUCGAAGAGUCGAUCUGUGGGGGCGCUCAGCUCGGCCGGGAGCUCGCCGACGCCUACCAAUGACCGCCUGCAAGAGAGCCAGGACACCAUCCGCAGCAGUGCGGUGCGCCAGUGUCGACAGCGGCUGGGCUUUCUUCGG